rnacentral:rRNA from 1 species
AGCGAAUAGAUACCCGGGUAGUCCACGCCCUAAACGAUGUCAACUGGUUGUUGGGAAUUCAUUUUCUCAGUAAACGAAAGCUAAACGCGUGAAGUUGACCGCCUGGGGAGUACGGCCGCAAGGCUAAAACUCAAAGGAAUUGACGGGGACCCGCACAAGCGGUGGAUGAUGUGGUUUAAUUCGAUGCAACGCGAAAAACCUUACCCACCUUUGACAUGUACGGAACUUGCCAGAGAUGGCUUGGUGCCCGAAAGGGAGCCGUAACACAGGUGCUGCAUGGCUGUCGUCAGCUCGUGUCGUGAGAUGUUGGGUUAAGUCCCGCAACGAGCGCAACCCUUGCCAUUAGUUGCUACGAAAGGGCACUCUAAUGGGACUGCCGGUGACAAACCGGAGGAAGGUGGGGAUGACGUCAAGUCCUCAUGGCCCUUAUAGGUGGGGCUACACACGUCAUACAAUGGCUGGUACAGAGGGUUGCCAACCCGCGAGGGGAGCUAAUCCCACAAAGCCAGUCGUAGUCCGGAUCGCAGUCUGCAACUCGACUGCGUGAA